rnacentral:tRNA from 1 species
GACCAUGUGGCCUAAUGGAUCAGGUGUCUGACUUCGGAUCAGAAGAUUGAGGGUUUGAGUCCCUUCAUGGUUG